rnacentral:lncRNA from 1 species
CAGUGCCUGGGAGGAGGCACAUUCCCCUUUCCAGACCCCUUUUCGCCCUCGCCGUGGGCUCUGCAGCACACCUGUAACCCCUUGCACAGGUAGAGCGGGGCAGUCCAGCUGUCCCCGAGGCUGGCACAGGUGAUGGGUCACAUCCCCACAGCCCAGCAGCCCCUCUGGAUCCCACUGAGAGGGAACACCUGGCAUCCAGCUGCUCUGCAGAGGUGGGUGCUGAGCUGAGCCCCCAUUCCCGGGGAGAGCAGCGUUUGCCAAGUGGAGCUGGAGAAGCUGAGGCAGAAGCUGCCCACGAUGGGGUGGGUCUCAGAGCAUGGGGCAGCUCUGUGGCGUGUCCCCCUCCCCAGCUUCUCGAGAGCCUUCAGCCACCUGAAAUCUCUCAGGUCCCGCCAGGACCUGCAGCAGAAGCUGAUGCAGAGCCCAGCCAGGCUUGUCCUGAUCCCUGCACCUCACCAAGGACCUCACCAGAGCCCCAGCACUCUCCUGGCUCCAGUGAGACAAACCUGGCUGGGGAUGGACAGCAGCAGCUCUGCUUCAGGCUCCCGACACCCUCCCCAUCCCGCCGGGAUCUCCGCUCCGCCGCCGUCCUCGCCAGGAAGGCAGCCAUCGAGCUGGUGAGUCCUGGGGGCCCCUGGCUGAGGGGUGUGGGGCUCUGGGACCUGCUGCAGGAUGAGGGGGACUCA